rnacentral:lncRNA from 1 species
GCGUCUGUCGCAAAUACAAAAUUUCAAUCCUGGUAUCUAUGAUGAGUUUUUUCCAGUUGCUUAUAUUGUUUAUCGUUCUGGACAAAAACAUUUAAUUCAAACCAACUACGCACAUCUGAGUAGAACAAGCUAAGAUCUGUUAUGAAGCAAACGUUCAUAUCUGAUUGAUACUAAAGUUAUUUGCCUAACAUCUACAAUGCAAAUAUCUUAUGUAUACUCAGGACAAAGGUAGAUUCAAGAAAGUGGAGUCCAAAAUGCCUGAAAAAAAUCAAGUGUAAGACUAUAUGUCAACCAACGGAAUAGAUGGACAAAAAUUGUCAUAUGCCUAACUUGGUAUAGACAGUUUUCAAAAGAAAACAGUUUUCCCUGAAUGUGACCUACCGAGUUGGACUUAUCACUGGAAUGGUACAUAUAUGAACAACUCGACGGGUGAUACAUUUAGAUCAGAUUCUCUUAACCCUUCCGGAGCAUCUGAGAUUACCCUGGUUAGUUGAUUGAGUUCAACUUGCUCAGUUUUAGGUUUUCUAUGUUGUGUUUUGUACACUGUUGAUUAUUUUUUGGUCUUUUUAUUAUUUUUUUUCUUUUUGACAUGGCGUUGUCAGUUUAUUUUCAAAUUCAGUUUUAAUGUCCCUUUGGUAUAAUUCUCCUCUUUUUAAACAUUUGUUUCAUCAAUGUAUAAGGUGGCAUUCAAAAGUUGUUAUUACUGUGAUUUGAUUUUUUUUAACAAACCUUCACGACUAAAGAAAGGACUUCAAUUUCCUUUCAUUCUUUUUUUUUGCCAGUAGCAAUAUACCAAUAGCGUUGAAUUUGAUAUUGAGUAUACAUCUAUUAAAAUCCCCGGGUUUUCUUUGCUUUUUAGAGUAAUUUUGCAAAUGUUUGUUUGUACGAAAAAAAAUUAUAAUUCAACUCAUAGUAAGUUUUAGCCGCUCCAUCAUAUAAUCUUAGAUGGACGUCAUAGAUGACAACGAAUAUGUGCAGUUUUCGUAAUUCAAUUCUUUUUGUCUUUUCUACAAGACAGACGAAAUAUCCAGAAGUCACAUUCAAAUUCAAAAUCCGAAAAUUCACUGUCAACGCAAUGGCUGACAAAAAGUCAAACAAACAACAUUACAUAAAACACAACAUAAAAAAAAACAAAAAGCUAAGAAAACCGGAACACACCAAAAACUGUCAGUAUAUGAUAUAAAACGUUUUGCUGUCGAGUCUGUACAUCGAUUUAACAAGGCGGUGGGUAAUGGCUUGAAUUUGAAUCAACAAAUUAUAUUUCAAUUGACUCCACAAAUAUGCAAAGUUUCAUAUGAAUUAUUGAAUUAGUGAAAACCAAAUGCUUACAUUUUUUUUUUUGUCAUCGCAGCUGCAUUGGUCAUUGAGAUUUUGAAAACGAGAAAUUGU